rnacentral:rRNA from 1 species
GGGGAGGGGAAGUAGACUGGAAACGGUAGCUAAUACCGCAUAACGUCGCAAGACCAAAAGAAGGGGGGACCGUUCGGGCCUCUUGCCAUCGGAUGUGCCCAGAUGGGAUUAGCUAGUAGGUGGGGUAACGGCUCACCUAGGCGACGAUCCCUAGCUGGUCUGAGAGGAUGACCAGCCACACUGGAACUGAGACACGGUCCAG